GCGCCUGUAGCUCAAUCGGACAGAGCAUCUGCCUUCUAAGCAGAGGGUUGGGGGUUCGAUUCCCUCCAGGCGUA
rnacentral:tRNA from 2 species